UACGAAGGGGGCUAGCGUUGCUCGGAAUCACUGGGCGUAAAGGGUGCGUAGGCGGGUCUUUAAGUCAGGGGUGAAAUCCUGGAGCUCAACUCCAGAACUGCCUUUGAUACUGAAGAUCUUGAGUUCGGGAGAGGUGAGUGGAACUGCGAGUGUAGAGGUGAAAUUCGUAGAUAUUCGCAAGAACACCAGUGGCGAAGGCGGCUCACUGGCCCGAUACUGACGCUGAGGCACGAAAGCGUGGGGGAGCAA
rnacentral:rRNA from 1 species